CCUCUGUCUCACAAUAUAUCCGUGCCCAACAUUUGACCGUCCGUCUUAUUAGAAAAUUUUGUGAAAAAUUUGAAAAUAUUUAGUUACACAUAAAGUACUAUUCAUAUUUUAUCAUCUAAUAGCAAUAAAAAUAAUAAUUAUUAAAAAAUUUUAAAUAAGAUGAACGAUCAAAUAUUGAACGUGAAUAGU
rnacentral:pre_miRNA from 1 species